GUUUGGCACCUCGAUGUCGGCUCAUCUCAUCCUGGGGCUGUAGUCGGUCCCAAGGGUAUGGCUGUUCGCCAUUUAAAGAGGUACGUGAGCUGGGUUUAAAACGUCGUGAGACAGUUUGGUCCCUAUCUUCCGUGGGCGCUGCAGAUUUGAGGAAGCCUGCUCCUAGUACGAGAGGACCGGAGUGGACGCACCUCUGGUGUA
rnacentral:rRNA from 1 species